AUGAGAGCAGAGAAUCCAGGGGUCACCAGGGCCAGGAAGGAUGGUGGGGCUCCCAGGUGAGGCUCCUCAGAAGGGCCAGGAGCAAGAUGCCCUCCAGGAGCCACAGGGGCAAGAGCAGCCAGACACUGAGUCGGGGCCUGAGUGGGGAGCAGGGACAUUGUUGAAGGACCUUGAACUUCCUGCACUGUGAUGCAGAGUCUGAAUCGGAGUGGCCAAACAGCUAGUGCUGGGUUACGGUUAGAAGAAAGCUCUCUUGGUGUCCUCCCAAUAGACAUGUGCUGCUUUUAACAUGUGUUGAAUGUUCA
rnacentral:lncRNA from 1 species